UUGUUUGCAUUUUCACUUGCAAGCUUUUGUCUCCCAUUUCUGCAACAUCUUCCUGAGAUUGACUUUCCUCCCCAAUAUUUCGAAGUCUAUAAUCUGCAUCAACGAGUCCCGGAUGCACUUGGAUCUUGCUUGUAUCUGCACCGUCCCUCCACCCUGAGAUCAGAUCAGGUGAGAUUCGUCCCCUACUCUGCAAAGCCGGUUUAAAUUUGAUUUAUUAGGGUGCUUUUGACCAAAUCAUUUUUCUGCUGUUAUUUUAUCGAAAAAAUAGUGAUUUGACUUUGUUAUUAUAUGUGGUUAACUGAGUUGUUUGGUUCUCUGAUAGGGGGUUUGAAGAAGCUUGAUUUAAUGGAUGAGUUUUGUGUUAGAUUUUAGUGUGCUUGGCUUGUAUAAUUUGUUUGUUAGUAUUUAAUUUUUUAGGAGGAUAAGUGCGAAUGAUUUGUUAGUUAAUUGUUUUUAUUUAUUUAUUUGUUGAUUCAUUAAUUUUGUCUUUAAUGAUGAAAAAACUAUGUCGUUUAAUGUUCUGGUUUGUCCUUAUUGACUUAGGAAUUUUGUUGUGUAAUUUGUGACAAAUAUGAGUGGAAGGGGUGAAAAUAUACAUGGUGAGAAUGGUGGUGAUGCAUCGGAAACAUUUUUUGUGGUAAGACUAAUGAAUGAUAUAUGGUAUUGUUGUUUUGUUUGUUUAAAUUUUAUGAGAAGCAUUUUAAUGAUUUUGGUAUCAGGAACUGGAUGACAUAGUGGUAGAUGAUGUAGACAAUGUUGACAUGUUUGACGAUGUUCUAGUGUAUUCUUAUGAGGAUGAAGAGGAUGCUGAGGAAUAUUUAAAAUAUGAAGAAGACUAUGGUGUUGGAUAGUGGGUCACCGUUGAUAAGCUUCGAUUCGAUGGUAGACAUUUACAAUAUAGACAUGCAUAAUCUAACGAAUGAUGAAGUUGAACAUUUGGAUUUUUUGGAUUGGGAGAUGGCUUGGUAUUCUCGACUUAUUGGGUUUUCUGUACGCAAAAGCCAUGCUGUGAGGUCCCAAUUUGGUGAGAUAGUGCAACAAACAUUUCUAUGCUCACGUGGACUGAGGGAGGAUACAGGUUUGACUUAGAAAGCAAGCAUCAAAAAAUUAUGCAAGCAGUGAGCAUGGGCGAGGUGGGCAACCGCCCAAGUCCCCAUUUUUAGAGGGGCACCCAAAAUUUUAUGUAGUUUGAUGAAUAGUAAAAUAAAAAUUUACAUAAUUA
rnacentral:lncRNA from 1 species